rnacentral:ncRNA from 1 species
CUUAUCGAGAGCGGUGGAGGGAACGGCCCGAUGAAGCCCGGCAACCUGCAGAAGCAAGGUGCCAAAUCCGGCGAGGAAAUCGAAAGAUGAGG